GAAGCAGCAGGCGCGCAAAUUACCCACUCCCGGCACGGGGAGGUAGUGACGANAAAUAACGAUACGGGACUCAUCCGAGGCCCCGUAAUCGGAAUGAGGACACUUUAAACCCUUUAACGAGUAUCCAUUGGAGGGCAAGUCUGGUGCCAGCAGCCGCGGUAAUUCCAGCUCCAAUAGCGUAUAUUAAAGUUGUUGCGGUUAAAAAGCUCGUAGUUGGACUUGUGUCCCACGCUGUCGGUUCACCGUUNGUCGGUGUUUAACUGGCAUGCCCGUGCGGACGUCCUGCCGGUGGAUGCGGUCGGCCGUAGGCCUCUGGUCUGCGUGUCGGCGGUCCGAUGCAAUCCUACCGCGGUGCUCUUCACCGAGUGUCGAGGUGGGCCGGCACGUUUACUUUGAACAAAUUAGAGUGCUCAAAGCAGGCAGUGGUUCGCCUGAAUAUUGUGUGCAUGGAAUAAUGGAAUAGGACCUCGGUUCUAUUUUGUUGGUUUUCGGAACUUGAGGUAAUGAUUAAUAGGGACAAACGGGGGCAUUCGUAUUGCGACGUUAGAGGUGAAAUUCUUGGAUCGUCGCAAGACGAACCUAAGCGAAAGCAUUUGCCAUGAGUGUUUUCAUUAAUCAAGAACGAAAGUUAGAGGUUCGAAGGCGAUCAGAUACCGCCCUAGUUCUAACCAUAAACGAUGCCAGCUAGCGAUCCGCCGAAGUUCCUCCGAUGACUCGGCGGGCAGCUUCCGGGAAACCAAAGCUUUUGGGUUCCGGGGGAAGUAUGGUUGCAAAGCUGAAACUUAAAGGAAUUGACGGAAGGGCACCACCAGGAGUGGAGCCUGCGGCUUAAUUUGACUCAACACGGGAAACCUCACCAGGCCCGGACACCGGAAGGAUUGACAGAUUGAGAGCUCUUUCUUGAUUCGGUGGGUGGUGGUGCAUGGCCGUUCUUAGUUGGUGGAGCGAUUUGUCUGGUUAAUUCNAUAG
rnacentral:rRNA from 1 species